UAAUGUUUCAUAAAACUCUAAAUUAAAUGAUGAUUGAUCACUAUUAUUUGUUAUAUUAGAUAAUAGUACUUGAUUAUUUUGUUUCACUUCAUUCAGUUUCGUUGAAUUCCACGAGCAUGCUUAUCUCGACUGAUGUGUUGUUGAAUUGUAAAUUUCUUUUCGGAGGCAACUGCAACAUUACAAACUUUACAAAAAAGUACCUUACCGUCCGUAGAAAAAAUAUCGGCACCAAACUCGCUCACAAAACUACGUAAACGGCUUUCAACUGUUGACUUCAUUUUUGACAUUUUGUACAGUUAAGAUCGGUAGAACCAGAUAGGUACGAGUCGAAUUCACUACUAAAGCUACUAUUGUAUACCUAAAUAGUUAUGGGUCGUUCGAUAUUUAAUCUUAUCGGGUAAAUUGACAAUUAAUUAUAUUAAUUUUUCAAUAUCAAUAGACUGGAGUAGGUAAUUACCUAUAGGUACUAAAUACUAAUUGGGAUUACCUUUUACCUACCACUGCGAAACCGAUCGAGAAUAAUGACUUUGCUGGUCUAACAAUCAACUUGUCAAAAUAUUCAUUCAAAUAAUUCAAACAUCAUAUAAACUUCCAAUUGAAUGUCCUUAUGACUUUGUCGAAUAAUAAUAAAAUAUAAAACCUACGUGUCACACCCUAAAAAAUAUUAUUCUCCAUAAUUUUUGUAUUAAGUGAUUUUGCUUUCAGAUUACUCAAAAAUCCUAAAAAAAAACAAUUUUAGUUAAAAGCGUUUUGUCCAUGUUGUGCGUGGGUCUGAGGGAGAGAACAAAUGGUGAAAUUGAUAUUUUAUUUUAUUCGCAAUACGCUGCGUCAUCUGGCGGCCGACGCUGCGGCGAAAUGGCCUCUUCGCACAGAUGGCGCUGUCGGCGUCGUCGCCGCCGAAUCGGCCGGACGUCCUCGCUGUCGGUGAAUAUUUGGCGGUCUUUGUACCAGGAGAUCAUGCGCUGGUAGCGCUCGUGCGGACCGCUCGCCAUAAAACGCGUACGCGGCAACUCGGUCGUUCCCCGCGGCCGUCUCUCCGCCGUUGUGUCCGCGCACGCCCGUCCAUUAAAUUAAAACGAAAUUUUCUCGUAUCGCCCGCCAUCACCACUCAGUGACACUUUCGAGUAAUGUAUAAACAAAUAAAAAUAAUGAUUAUUACUGUUAUCAAUCGAAUAGAGCUCGGAUUUGUACGCUACAUCAUACUUAUCUAAGGUAUGCGCUAAAAAAACUGACAAAUAUCAUUUACAAUAAUGGUAUUAACCUUUUAACAUACGAAUCACACGUCGUAUGCAAUAAAAGUUUAAAUGUGCACCGAAUAAUAUAUGCACUGGUGAAUAUCGUCGUAUGAUAUUGUCUAUUGUUUAAACAAUUUGUGUCGGUAACUUUACUAUAAUUGAUUAAUACCUAAACGGCUAAAUACCACAAGAAAGUGUCCAAGACGUAUGAAUGCAUGACAAACAACAAACAAAACAAAUUGAAGAAACGCAUCGAAAAUUUAAACAUGACGUUAAAAUAUGUGAAAAGAAAUUAACCAAACUGUUACUGAUGUCGAAAUUUGAGUUAAAAAAUUGUUUACCGUUACAGAUCACAACGUCAUGAAACACAAUGUUGUGUGCUCUAAAUCCGGUGUGAUCAAAUGACGACUCCAAAAAUCCAUAUUUUGUCUUUGGGCUCGCGUCAGUACGGGAAAUGCAAUUUUUUUCGAAAUUCGCCGACAUCGCGGAUAGGAUAGCGGUCGCUGCGGGACGGCCGAGCUCCGAUGGUGGCCGCACGUGGCACGGCGGCGUUGGCGCGACGACCGAAUUUUCCCGCCGCGAUUCGCGCGGGUCCGUUUUGGACGGCGCCGUGACGCCGGCGGACCAGGAUCCUAUACCGCGCGCGACGCGACGAGCGGUUUGAAUAUUCGUUCUCGUCCCGUCGUCGUUGUUCGGUUUUUGGCAAGCACACAACAUACGAACCACAUCGAUGCACAUUUAAUGGGGUACGAUGACAUUUUUCCGUAUACGAUGGAAGCGCAGAACUCGUACGCCUCUGGUGAGACAGUGAAAUGUAAUGUCAGGCCAUGAAAACUCCACAACCCGUUUGGUUUAUCACGGGCGCACAUCCGGACAGCCGACUCCAGACGACCACGGCUGCGAACUGAACGGAACGAGAAGACACCGAAAACGACAGACAACGGCCCGGAACACGGCGCGCGCCGCCGCCGUCAUCACUCCGUGAAAUACUUCGAACAGCGCCCCCCGGCACCGGACCUGAUACGUCGACGGACGGGUCUGCCGGACUGGUUUCCUGGAGCGAGGUGUGGCGCGAAGCGCGAGCGGCAGUACCGUUGUCGGCGGCGCGGCGGCCCUCGUAACGCGACCGUGUGACGAAUGGUAUCCUGGUACGAGACGCCGCGUACGGCUCGCAACAGUUUGCUCGCGAGACCACGUACAAUGGCAACCGUGUAACGACGACGGUACGCGUCUGUAAAUACGACGGUUCUGUGAUACACUAUCGGAGUGUCGCCAAAAAAAGAAGGAUACAGUUGGAACGCGUGUUCUUAUGUGGAGCAGAGAUUCGUCGACAAAAACCGGGUGGUCACCCAUCCGGGAGCCAAUGAUGUCGGACGAUGCUUGACCGCUGCAGCACACAUUUCUGCAGCCAACCACCUCACAACAGUCACAACACCACUACUCCAAACUCUAAAUUAUAUUAUAAUUUAUGAAGUAUACAAUAUUCUUAACAAAUUCUACAAAAGACAUCAGUUGCUCAAUUUUUUUUUUGUUUUUGAGUAUUCUUAGAGUGAAAUUGUAAGACACAAGCUACAUUAAUUCGAUUAACUAUAUUAUUAACUUUUUUUUUUCCAGUUUUGAACCGACGACGCAGCGGGAACUGCUUUCGCAUUGCUUCCGCGGCGCCUUUAUUAACUAUAUCAUGUUAUAUGUACCUUUGCUAUUUUAAGGGAACAAAUAUAUUGCUAUAGGAGAUUAUUACCAAACUUAAAUAGAUAAUAUUUUUUAUUUAUGUUUCGUUUUUCAUUAAUAAAUUGUUAUUGUUAUUUGUUUUAUUUGUGUUCAUAGUUUAAUGUCAAAGUGCACUAGCUUACUAACUUUGUAAGAUCUAGUAAUUGGUAUCUUAAUGUAAAAACAACGUUAUCAAAAAAAUAUUUCAUUAUAGGUGGUAUAUAUUCUUGUACAUUUUAAGAAUAAGUUACAAAUUGUAUAAAG